UUUAAUAUAAUAUAUCGCUAAAUGAUUCCACUUUCCAGCCUUUCCUGUUAGCUUGCAAUUGGUCAUGAAGUAUGGUUCUCUUGCCACCCGCUUUGAAAGAGUAGAAACAGAGAGUAAUUAACCUUAACCCCUCUCUCUCUCAUUAUCUCUUUUGCUUCAUCGGCUUCUUGCCCAAAAUUGUUCUCAUCCUCGACGAAAUUCCACUGAAACAGAAUCAGAUUUCGCUUCAAUGAAGAGGGGCUCGAUUCGCUAAUCGCCACCGUAUUUAUAUUUGAGCUCUGUUUUCUCAUUCAGUUAGGGUUAGGGUUUUUCCCUUUUUGGAGGCUCUAAGUUCUAUUGUACUUUGUCAUCGCAGUAUCAUAUCAUAUUAUAUAUACAUAUAUAAUAUAUAAUACAGCAAUUGAAUUUAGGGUUUAGCUUUCUCUGAUUUUUGGAUUUUCGUUUCUGUGUUUUGGGGUUGUUUGUGUAAUGGUCUCAAUUAAUUGUAUCUAUCUUCGCCCUGUACUGUACAAUCAACGAUUAUUUUUUUA